UAGAAGCGAGUUCCUAUGGUGUUUGUCCUUUCAUGACUUGUUUCUCUCAGCAUAACAUCUUCGAAGUUCAUUCGUGUUGGGGCGCCGGAUGGAGCUGCCCGUUUGCAGACCGAACAACACUUGGUUGUAGCGCGCAGGUCUCGUUGAUCGGGCCACCAGGGGCCGGCGCUGGGGCUGUCCCGCCGCCGGGCCGGUGUGAGCGAUGCCACCACGAACUCGGUGUGCAAAUGUCGGGCUGAGCCCCUGCUUUCAGUUCCUUCGUAUGGAAACCCCCAGGAUGACAGGCUAGGCCGUAUGAGUCCGGAUUUAAUUGAACCGUGUUGCUUUCGAACAGUUACGUAAUCAUGACAUUCUGUGGCUAUUACAAGAUGGGAGACGUUAUAGCCCGUUGGUGACCACGGUGCCAGAAGUCCCUUCUUUGCUCCAGGCGGUGCACGGGGUGAGCCGGACACAGGGUGAGCCCAACCGGGGCUGCGGUCCCCUCUGAUGGUGAAAGGGGCAGGUGUUCCCAGGAAGGCUGAGGGCCCUGGGCCCAGUCUGGGGCUUGACUCUAGGGGGCACCCCUGGCCUGGGACACUGAGUUCUAGGGGGGCCUCAGCUGGCCACACACUGACCACCCUCCUCCCAGACUGACAAGAAAGGGGAGGGGAAGGUUUUGGGGAAUAAAAGGCACUUUCUGGCAAUAACUGACGUUUAGGGCCAGAGGUCAGAGGGGUCAGCUGGUCAGCCGAACCCCCAGCAGCACUUAGGGAACAAAGCCUACUGUUUGAACUCUCCCGGUAAAAACUUCAGCCCAAGCCUGAGGGGUGGGGGUGGGGCAGUGGAGAACAGGAAACACGACCCCUUUGAGCUCAGGUCAGCCUUUGGGGAACCAUCCACCUCUUGAGGCCCAGGGAGGAGGACCUGCCGGUGCCUUAGGUUCAAAACCAUCUAUGGAUUCAUUCCAGGAGAUCUCUCAAGGAGCCCUGUCGGUGGCACACCGUAAGAGGUCAGCUCCAGGUCCAAGAGAGCUGGCCCUGCAGACGGUGCUUCCCACAGAGAGACCCGGAUGGAGAGACCCGGAUGCGUCAGGUCCGCAGGCUGCCUUUCAGCAGCUCUGUCCCUUCAUUCAGUCAACCCACUUGGGGGCUGCUGUCAGCUCAGGCUCAUUCCACUGUCCCAGGACCUUGAUUUGGGCGAUGGCCAGCCUGAAGCCCAAAGUGGAAAAGCAGAUUCUAAUCAGCAGUUGGUUGUCCAGAAACUUCUCAGUCUAGACCUUAUUUCAGGGCCCCCCCUCCUCCGUCAAAUUGAGCUCUGAGGCCGCCCCAUCAGCUUCAGGCUCCCUGGGGAAUAUGAGUGGGGCCUUUCAAGAGCCCUUUGCUUGCUCCUGAAAGCCAAGAACCAUUUUCUACCUGUCAGCUCAGGAGGGUGGACGUGCAGGUUCUGGCCCCUCUGCUCAUCCGUGGCCCGGACCUGAGCCGGCUGUGGGGGUGUCACCUGGGGUCUUCGUAACCACCCUGACCAGGCAAGCCGUUCGGGUCUUGCCUGAGCGACGCGGAAAAGGAAAAUCCAGAGAUUCGGAACAGCAGGCGCAGAAGCAGUAGGGGGAGGUCUGCACGGGCCCGGGGCUGCUGCGCCUGCCUCCAAGCCCCGGCCGCACGCUGGGAGGUGGGGGGCCGGGGGCGCCCACGCCGCGUCCCGGAUCCGUCAAGUCUGAAUCUCAGGGUGGUUAUCGGGCUCCCGGGCUGAUUCCAAGGGCCACGCGGGUCGCGAACACGGCUUCACCGGCACGCUCAGUCCCUUCGCCUCGUCAGGUGCCCCUUUCAUAGCAGAGUCCCGGUCUUGAAACCAAAAGUCGAAACCGCNNNNNNNNNNNNNNNNNNNNNNNNNNNNNNNNNNNNNNNNNNNNNNNNNNNNNNNNNNNNNNNNNNNNNNNNNNNNNNNNNNNNNNNNNNNNNNNNNNNNAGGGCUUCGCGCGCACCUGGAGGGCGGGCGGGGGGAGGGGGCGGCCCCCUGUCCGUGGCCGCGGAGGUGCCCGCGGGCGCCCACCCGGACUCGGCCUGUGGUGGU
ensembl:lncRNA